GUCCCGAGCCGCGCACUUCUGGGACCGUCGGGCGCGAACCGAGGGCAGGAAAUUGGACUCACUGGAACCAGUGGCCAUGCCCGAGCAUCCGUGGUGGAGCUUGCUCAGUCCCCAAAAUCUCAUGUGGACAGAAACAUGGCUGAAGAGUUACAUUGCCAGCAAGUCCAGGACAUCAGAACCUCCCUGUUCCCUGGUGUGACACACUCCCUGCCGCGUGGUGGCAGGGACUGCCGUGGGGUGGGCUCCGCAGACGCAGUGUGAUAGGACCGGUGUUCCUUAUAAGAAGAGGAAGAGCGACCAAAUCUGUCCGCCCUGCAACCCUGUGCACAGAGGAAAGGCCACGUGAGGCCACAAGCCAAGAAGAGGCCUCGCCGGACACCACCCCUGGAAACUCCUGGAAAUGGGACUUCCAGCCUCCAAGGAUGGUGAGAAACACAUUCCUGUCACUUAAGCCCCAGUCUGCGGCACUUUGCUGGGGAAGCCCAAGAACACUCACACGCCCCGGCUGGCUUUGCUUUAUUAUUUCACUGCCUAAUACGAAUGCCUAAAUAAUAGACUUC